rnacentral:lncRNA from 1 species
GUGGCACUUACAUGAACACCCACGCACUCUCUCAAUCUACUAAUUCCCAACCUUCCACUCGCACUCCUCCACUUUUGCCUCCUAGCCCAAACACCUGAACCAUGAGUAAGUAAUUCCAUGCAAUUUCAGCUCGGUCUCUGAAAAUACUCACUUUACUAUUUGUCUCAUCAUCUUUCCUGCAGCGGCUGCUGCAGACUGCUGCUUUCAGGGUCCUUCUUGGUAUCCUUUACUGUCAUCACAUCAGCUUAGAGAGACGAGGCCAAGGUGUUCUUCCUCGCCAUGAGCCUCACCUGCCCUUCUCCAAAGCUAACCACUUGACUUACACCAUGAAUUC